rfam:Dipodomys ordii contig_55311, whole genome shotgun sequence.
GGGAAGAUGGCUCAGUGGUAGAGUGCUUGCCUUGCAUGCAUGAGGUCUGGGGUUCCAUUCCUCAGCAUCACA